rnacentral:rRNA from 1 species
AUUGAACGCUGGCGGAAUGCUUUACACAUGCAAGUCGAACGGCAGCACGGGAGCUUACUCCUGGUGGCGAGUGGCGAACGGGUGAGUAAUACAUCGGAACGUACCCAGUUAUGGGGGAUAACUAACCGAAAGGUUAGCUAAUACCGCAUACGCCCUGAGGGGGAAAGCGGGGGACCGUAAGGCCUCGCGUAAUUGGAGCG